ACACUAACAACGCCAGGGUACUACGAGCUUUAGCUUCAAACCCAAAGGACUUGACGGUGCCCCAUCCAACUAGAGGAGCCUGUUCUAUAACCGAUGAUCCUCGUUAUACCCCACCACCCUUUGCCUUUCAGUCUGUAUACCUCCGUCGUAAGCUUGCCGUAUGAACGUUCAACAGCAAGCUCAAGGGCCAAUCUGCCAAUACGUCAGGUCAAGGUGCAGCUCAUAGGGUGGGCAGCAAUGGGCUACAAUUUCUAUAUUAGAACAUACGAAAUUCUACAUGAAACAUAGAUCAUGAAGGCGGAUUUAGCAGUAAAUAAGGAAUAGAGAGCCUUAUUAAACUUGGCCCUGGGACG
rnacentral:rRNA from 1 species